AGAGUUUGAUCCUGGCUCAGGACGAACGCUGGCGGCGUGCCUAAUACAUGCAAGUCGAACGAACUCUGGUAUUGAUUGGUGCUUGCAUCAUGAUUUACAUUUGAGUGAGUGGCGAACUGGUGAGUAACACGUGGGAAACCUGCCCAGAAGCGGGGGAUAACACCUGGAAACAGAUGCUAAUACCGCAUAACAACUUGGACCGCAUGGUCCGAGUUUGAAAGAUGGCUUCGGCUAUCACUUUUGGAUGGUCCCGCGGCGUAUUAGCUAGAUGGUGGGGUAACGGCUCACCAUGGCAAUGAUACGUAGCCGACCUGAGAGGGUAAUCGGCCACAUUGGGACUGAGACACGGCCCAAACUCCUACGGGAGGCAGCAGUAGGGAAUCUUCCACAAUGGACGAAAGUCUGAUGGAGCAACGCCGCGUGAGUGAAGAAGGGUUUCGGCUCGUAAAACUCUGUUGUUAAAGAAGAACAUAUCUGAGAGUAACUGUUCAGGUAUUGACGGUAUUCAACCAGAAAGCCACGGCUAACUACGUGCCAGCAGCCGCGGUAAUACGUAGGUGGCAAGCGUUGUCCGGAUUUAUUGGGCGUAAAGCGAGCGCAGGCGGUUUUUUAAGUCUGACGUGAAAGCCUUCGGCUCAACCGAAGAAGUGCAUCGGAAACUGGGAAACUUGAGUGCAGAAGAGGACAGUGGAACUCCAUGUGUAGCGGUGAAAUGCGUAGAUAUAUGGAAGAACACCAGUGGCGAAGGCGGCUGUCUGGUCUGUAACUGACGCUGAGGCUCGAAAGUAUGGGUAGCAAACAGGAUUAGAUACCCUGGUAGUCCAUACCGUAAACGAUGAAUGCUAAGUGUUGGAGGGUUUCCGCCCUUCAGUGCUGCAGCUAACGCAUUAAGCAUUCCGCCUGGGGAGUACGGCCGCAAGGCUGAAACUCAAAGGAAUUGACGGGGGCCCGCACAAGCGGUGGAGCAUGUGGUUUAAUUCGAAGCUACGCGAAGAACCUUACCAGGUCUUGACAUACUAUGCAAAUCUAAGAGAUUAGACGUUCCCUUCGGGGACAUGGAUACAGGUGGUGCAUGGUUGUCGUCAGCUCGUGUCGUGAGAUGUUGGGUUAAGUCCCGCAACGAGCGCAACCCUUAUUAUCAGUUGCCAGCAUUAAGUUGGGCACUCUGGUGAGACUGCCGGUGACAAACCGGAGGAAGGUGGGGAUGACGUCAAAUCAUCAUGCCCCUUAUGACCUGGGCUACACACGUGCUACAAUGGAUGGUACAACGAGUUGCGAACUCGCGAGAGUAAGCUAAUCUCUUAAAGCCAUUCUCAGUUCGGAUUGUAGGCUGCAACUCGCCUACAUGAAGUCGGAAUCGCUAGUAAUCGCGGAUCAGCAUGCCGCGGUGAAUACGUUCCCGGGCCUUGUACACACCGCCCGUCACACCAUGAGAGUUUGUAACACCCAAAGUCGGUGGGGUAACCUUUUAGGAACCAGCCGCCUAAGGUGGGACAGAUGAUUAGGGUGAAGUCGUAACAAGGUAACC
rnacentral:rRNA from 2 species